rnacentral:rRNA from 1 species
CGACCGUAUCUUCGAUGCAUCACGAUGCCGUAUCUGGCAGCGGUACGAAGGUCAGUAUCGAUUCGGCUAAGCGCGUGGCUUGAAUCUGGUGAGAGCUGGUUACCUGGACUCAGGCAAUGCGCAUGAGUGUGAGUAGCGUAAUCUCGGUAGAGGAAAGCGCAUAAUAGGAGAGAUCCAGCGAAGCGGCUACACGAGCACACUGUCACUGAGCGUGAAAAGUGGGAGCAACACGAGUAUAUAUCCGUAGUGCACGCCUAAAGAUGCGACUGUAUGUGGGGAAACUGCACUCAGUUGGACACUAACCCUUUAGUUCGCCGCCUUGGGGUUCCGUCGCAAAGUGAAAAUCUCAAGAGAUUGACGGGGGGCCCGCCCAACGGUGGAGUCAUGGUUUAAUUUGAUACAACGCGAAGAACCUUUCCCGGCCCUGACAUGUCGAGAACUUUCCAGAGAUGGAUCGGGCCUUUGGGAAAUUAAACACCGGUUCUGCAUGGCUGUUGUCAACUUGUGUUGUGAGAUGUUGGGUUAAGUUCCGCAACGAACGCCACCCUUGUCCUUAGUUUCCAACCCGUAAUGGUGGGACCUUUAAGGAGGCCGCCGGUGACCAACCGGAGGAAGGUGGGGAAGACGUCAAGUCAUCAUGGCCCUUUCGGCCAUGGCUACCCCCGUACUUCAAUUGUAGGGACAGAGGGGUGCACACCGCCGGCGGUAAACCAAUUCCAGAAACCCUAUUUCAGUCCGGAAUGGAGUUUGCAACUUGACUCCAUGAAGUUGGAAUCGCUAGUAAUUGCAGAUCAGCAAUGUUGCGGUGAAUACGUUCCCGGGCCUUGUACACACCGCCCGUCACACCAUGGGAGUUUGUUGCACCAGAAGCAGGUAGUUAACCUCGGAGCGCGCUAUGUGCAGUAAUGGG